rnacentral:tRNA from 1 species
GCCGUGGCAGUUCAGUACUAGAAUUCUUGCCUUCUAUGCAGGAGACCAGGUUCGAUUCCUGGCCAAUGCA